UACGAAGGGGGCUAGCGUUGCUCGGAAUCACUGGGCGUAAAGCGCACGUAGGCGGACUCUUAAGUCGGUGGUGAAAGCCUGGAGCUCAACUCCAGAACUGCCUUCGAUACUGAGAGUCUUGAGUUCGGGAGAGGUGAGUGGAACUGCGAGUGUAGAGGUGAAAUUCGUAGAUAUUCGCAAGAACACCAGUGGCGAAGGCGGCUCACUGGCCCGAUACUGACGCUGAGGUGCGAAAGCGUGGGGAGCAAACAGG
rnacentral:rRNA from 1 species